GUUAGCGUGGUGGAAUGGUAGACACGCACGCUUGAGGGGCGUGUGGGAUAACCCAUGAGAGUUCAAGUCUCUUCGCUAACACCA
rnacentral:tRNA from 1 species